rnacentral:rRNA from 1 species
CAAUAGCGUAUAUUAAAGUUGUUGCAGUUAGAACGCUCGUAGUCGGAUUUCGGGGCGGGUCGACCGGCCUGCCGAUGGGUACGCACUGGCCGACGCGUCCUUCCUUCCGGAGACCGUCUCACUCUUAACUGAGCGGAGGCGGGAGACGGAACGUUUACUUUGAAAAAAUCAGAGUGUUUCAAGCAGGCAGCUCGCUCUUGCAUGGAUUAGCAUGGGAUAAUGAAAUAGGACUUUGGUGCUAUUUUGUUGGUUUCGAACACCGAAGUAAUGAUGAGAAGGGACAGUCAGGGGCACUCGUAUUCCGCCGAGAGAGGUGAAAUUCUCAGACCAGCGGAAGACGAACCACUGCGAAAGCAUUUGCCAGGGAUGUUUUCACUGA